GGAAGGUAGCACCUUGAAUAAUGCUCGGCACGAGUGCAACGUGACAUCUGAUGGACAGUUCUAUGCCAAAGGAAUGAGAACCGCUGCUGGGGUCUUAAGGUACAAGCAUCACUCUCUUGCCAUGGGCAGACAGACACUAAAAAGGACUAACU